GACGAACGCUGGCGGCGUGCUUAACACAUGCAAGUCGAACGGAAAGGCCCUGCUUUUGUGGGGUGCUCGAGUGGCGAACGGGUGAGUAACACGUGAGUAACCUGCCCUUGACUUUGGGAUAACUUCAGGAAACUGGGGCUAAUAUCGGAUAGGAGCUCCUGCUGCAUGGUGGGGGUUGGAAAGAUUCGGCGGUUGGGGAUGGACUCGCGGCUUAUCAGCUUGUUGGUGGGGUAGUGGCUUACCAAGGCUUUGACGGGUAGCCGGCCUGAGAGGGUGACCGGCCACAUUGGGACUGAGAUACGGCCCAGACUCCUACGGGAGGCAGCAGUGGGGAAUAUUGCACAAUGGGCGGAAGCCUGAUGCAGCAACGCCGCGUGCGGGAUGACGGCCUUCGGGUUGUAAACCGCUUUCGCCUGUGACGAAGCGUGAGUGACGGUAAUGGGUAAAGAAGCACCGGCUAACUACGUG
rnacentral:rRNA from 1 species